UACGAAGGGUGCAAGCGUUACUCGGAAUUACUGGGCGUAAAGCGUGCGUAGGUGGUUUGUUAAGUCUGAUGUGAAAGCCCUGGGCUCAACCUGGGAAUUGCAUUGGAUACUGGCAGGCUAGAGUGCGGUAGAGGAUGGCGGAAUUCCCGGUGUAGCAGUGAAAUGUGUAGAGAUCGGGAGGAACAUCUGUGGCGAAGGCGGCCAUCUGGACCAGCACUGACACUGAGGCACGAAAGCGUGGGGAGCAAACAGG
rnacentral:rRNA from 1 species